rnacentral:pre_miRNA from 1 species
CAUAAAGUAGCGAGCACGACUCCGCCCCCGCGCCCGUGUAGUGUUUCCUACUUUAUGGA